UGGCGGCAGGCCUAACACAUGCAAGUCGAGCGGUAGAGAGAAGCUUGCUUCUCUUGAGAGCGGCGGACGGGUGAGUAAUGCCUAGGAAUCUGCCUGGUAGUGGGGGAUAACGUUCGGAAACGGACGCUAAUACCGCAUACGUCCUACGGGAGAAAGCAGGGGACCUUCGGGCCUUGCGCUAUCAGAUGAGCCUAGGUCGGAUUAGCUAGUUGGUGAGGUAAUGGCUCACCAAGGCAACGAUCCGUAACUGGUCUGAGAGGAUGAUCAGUCACACUGGAACUGAGACACGGUCCAGACUCCUACGGGAGGCAGCAGUGGGGAAUAUUGGACAAUGGGCGAAAGCCUGAUCCAGCCAUGCCGCGUGUGUGAAGAAGGUCUUCGGAUUGUAAAGCACUUUAAGUUGGGAGGAAGGGUUGUAGAUUAAUACUCUGCAAUUUUGACGUUACCGACAGAAUAAGCACCGGCUAACUCUGUGCCAGCAGCCGCGGUAAUACAGAGGGUGCAAGCGUUAAUCGGAAUUACUGGGCGUAAAGCGCGCGUAGGUGGUUUGUUAAGUUGGAUGUGAAAUCCCCGGGCUCAACCUGGGAACUGCAUUCAAAACUGACUGACUAGAGUAUGGUAGAGGGUGGUGGAAUUUCCUGUGUAGCGGUGAAAUGCGUAGAUAUAGGAAGGAACACCAGUGGCGAAGGCGACCACCUGGACUAAUACUGACACUGAGGUGCGAAAGCGUGGGGAGCAAACAGGAUUAGAUACCCUGGUAGUCCACGCCGUAAACGAUGU
rnacentral:rRNA from 1 species